GUUCCUGGUGGAGCUUCGUUGGGGCUGCAAGGGGUCCUAGAAGCAGUGCUGCAACCUGAACCGCGCAAAUUCCCACCCACCGAUGAUCUGCUCAACUAAGACAUCAAAAGGGCUGGGGUUCCUGGCUGGUUCAGUCGGUAGAGCCGCUGGCUCCUGACCUCGGGAUUGAUCCAGUUGAUUUAUUCUGGAACAAAUGUGCUCACUUUUCAACUCAUUGUCACUGAAGGAGAAACACCUCCAGCUCCUUCCCUUGGUGGUUCAAGGACUUGGCCAGCCCAGCACCUCCUUCUGAACAUCGCUGGUCUCCUGGAAGCUCUGGGCACAAUGGAGUUCACCUUGCUCAGUGAGCUGAGCACUUGACUCUCAUUCCCUCACCUAACCCCUCCAGCUCUGACAAGUAAGGACCUCCAUUAGCCCACCGCAGAGAUGAUGAAGCUACCACUUAACCAACCAGCCCAAGGUCACACAGCUGCUUCUAGAAGCUGCCUGUAUUCCUUGGCUGGUGACCUCACCCACCAUCUCUAAAGCCUGCAGCAACGCCCACAAUGCAGCAUCUUCGAAGAAUCUCUCUCAGGCCUCUGCUUUUCUUGUCCUAUCUCCUAUGACCAACUCUCCUGCCUCCCCCUUGAAGGAGCCUUGUGAUUACCUUGGCCUCACCUGGAUAGCCCAAGAUGAUCUCCCCAGCUGCAGCUCCUUCACUCCUCACAUCUGUGGAGUCUCUUGUCCAUGUCAGUGGACAUAUUCAUAGGUUCUAGGGGUUAGGACAUGGACAUUUUAGGAUGGUAGGGAACAUUAUUCUGCCUCCCACAGCCAGAAAUCGGAGGACCCAUCCAAGGUCUAAGAGGGUUGAGUGAAGGCCAGAAGGAGGCUGCAGGCCUCUGAGUGCUGUGUCCUUUGGAGCAGCACCUCAAAAUAGAAGAAAGGAGUCCUCCCCACAAAUUGAAGCUGGUUUUAAAACACCUUGCAGAGUGGUCAGCAGCAUCCGUUCUGCUUUCCAUCUCAACUCCACCACCUGCCUCUUGGGUGACCUUGGGCCUGUCGUGUAACAUCUCUGGACCUCGGUUUUCUGAUCUGUUAAGUGGGGGUGAAGAUAAAGAGCCACAGGGCCUGAUUUGAGGGUGCUCUGAGCCUGUGUUGUGGCUGCGCCGUUAGGGCCGUGUCAAGUGAUCUUAGCCACCUCCCCUGCCCCCACCAAACACACCCCAGGUGGAAAUGAAGGAAGUAAGUGCCCUGAGAAGGAAGGGACACACUCUUGCACCCGGCAGGGCUGGGAGCCAGACAGCGUCCUUGACCCUCAGAGCCCUUCCCUUGCCCCUCCUCAGAGCUGCUUUCCUGGAAACUCCCCAGGGAAUGAAGCUUUUGAUACCUAAGUAGGUCAUAGAAAGGGAACAAAGGGAUGCUUUUUGCCUGCAAGGCCGCCUGCUGGGGCAGGCUAGAAGCCCUGGUUAAUAAGGAGUUGAGUGGUGCGUGACUGCAGACACGCAGGCGGGAGGCCCGUGCGGGGACAGGACCCACUGAGAGGCAACAGAGAUGUGUCAGUGUCCCCGCGGCUUGAAGGGAGGGGCAACAUCAGAGGUGCUGCCGAGGUCUCUCCAAACAGGAGGUCAAGGUGGGGUGAAGAGAGGUGCCCCGGGGACCCGCAAGGCUUCCAGGGCAGGAGCGUGAGGUG